GCCAGGAGAGCAGCUCCUUUCAAAAGGCCUUUAUUAAAGACAGCUCUGGGUGCGGAACCCGAGGGGUCGCGCACAGCGCCGCUGCUCCCACAGGACCGCGCUGAGCAGGAGGAGGAGCAGCAGCAGCAGCAGCAGCAGCGCAGCUUUGUCUCUCGGCACAGCCGGGGCUUCCGUCCUCACCAGAGUCCUUAGGAAGGCAACGUUGGCUCGGAGCAUAGGGGGAUCCUCCAAGCUGAGCACUAUUAAAAUUAUGGGGGCAGGACAGAAUCCGGCUCUGCUCAAGGGGUUUCAUUUCUCAAAUCUAUUGGAGCAAAAAUGAGCAAUGUGCCCUGCUGGUGUUUAGAUGUUCUGAAUCCCUCAGCUGAGUGUUGGGUUCCUGUGUUGUCCUGCCUGGUGCUUGCUGGAUGUGCUGGAACAAAGAGCUUGGGCCCUUGAUGAAAACGACCACAAAUUACUUCAUUGAGAUUUACUGGGCUCAGAGUAAAAGGGACGAAGCUCAGGUUUGAUCUAGAAAAUGCUUCUUCCCUGUCAGGAUGGUGAAGUCCUGGCUUCACAGAUUGCUCAGAGAAGCCAAGUAAAUAAAGUUUCAGAAUUCUUCA